CCCCUGGGCCACUUGGCCCAUCUAGCUAAACAACCAGCCCACCUCCACCUCCUCCUCCUCUACAGAACACCAGGAGGGUGUGGCGCUCAUCCACGGCGCCAUGGCCAUGGAUGGCUGCCACGAGCCCCUCCCUUUGACCUAUAAGGGCACCCCCACACCCCACCGAAACCCUAGCCCCUCGCAUCUCUCUCCCUCGCGCCCCUCCUCCUUCUGCGCCCGCCAACGUCGCGGCGCCCUGACCGGUCUGCCUCUGCCCUGCCAACCUCCCCGUCAUCCGCGGCCACCGUCGUCUUCGGCGUGCGGGAGAACGUCCAGGAGGUCCGCCGCGGCCGGAUCCUUCCGUUCCGGGGACCACCUCAAGCUGGGACGGUCCGUGUGCUCGCCAUCGAGCCCUUCUCCGCCGCGGACGUCACCAACUCGUCGUAGUUGCCACUGCUCCGGGCCGCCUCCAACCUUCUAACCUCAUCCACGAGAACCGGGGAGUUCAAAAGAAGGAUUCACAUCAGUGCAAAUCUCCGGUGGGAGUAAGUUCAGAGGGGGGAAAUGCAUCUGGCCCAACCGCCUCGACCUCAACAAGCCCCGUCAAGAUUCGGCACCGUGAGCUGCACCCCCUCUCUUCCUUCAUAACUAGGAGUUGUGGAGGAGCAUUGAUUGGUUGUCUACUUGAAAACAAAAGAAGAUGAAGUACAUGACCAUCGUAGCUACUGUUGAAGAGACGUUGUGCGGUUGGUUGUGGAUGAGAAUUUUCAAGCCGGCAAUUGAUUUCCAGCAAGGGCAGCAGAGAAAAAUCCAUGACGAGAUGAAAACCACCACGACAGCAUCAUGGACGUGAUCGAGGGACGGCCGUGUAGCAGCCGUAUGCGCACUACUUGUGCUGGGGGCUGAUCUGGAGGCCCCUGAUCGGAAGGGACGCCACUGGAGUGGCUGCGGGAGAUGGUAGCGGUACACCAAGUGGCAAGGCACCAUAUGACAGACAAUUGUGGAUCUGCUUCGGUUCACUAAAGAAAUAAAUGCAUGGAUAGAGAAGGUAUGCUCUAAGAUGUUUUCCCUUAGUUUAAAGGAAGGAUUAGUAGUACAUGUAACUGUCUUUUAUUUUCUUGGUAUUCAAACAAGAACAAAUCACUGUUGAUGUUUAAACUCUCUAGAAUCUUAUAAAUUUUAUUAUUCCUCUUAAAUUUCUGAUACAAAAUUGGAGUUGUAAAUUAUUUAUUCUGGCA